rnacentral:SRP_RNA from 1 species
GCCAGGCGUGGUGGUGCGCGCCUGUAGUCCCAGCUACUGGGGAGGCUGAGACAGAAGAAUUGCUUGAAUCCAGGAGGCGGAGGUUGCAGUGAGCAGAGAUUGUGCCACUGCACUCCAGCCUGGAUGACAGAGCGAGACUCCGUCUCAA